rnacentral:tRNA from 1 species
GCAGUGGUGGUCCAGUGGUAGAAUUCUCACCUUCCAUGUGGAAGACCUGGGUUCGAUUCCUGGCCAAUGCA